GCCCAGCACGGUGGCGCGUGCUUGUAGUCCCAGCUACUCAGGAGGCUGAGAUGGGAGGAUCACUUGAGCCCAGGAGUUCUGGGCUGUAGUGCGCUAUGCCGAUCGGGUGUCUGCACUAAGUUCAGCAACAAUAUGGUGACUUACCGGGAGUGGGGGACCACCAGGUUGCCUAAGGAGGGGUGAACUGGCCCAGGUCAGAAACGGAGCAGGUCAAAACUCCCAUGCUGAUCAGUAGUAGGAUCAUGCCUGUGAAUAGCCACUGCACUCCAGCCUGGGCAACAUAGUGAGACCCUGUCUCU
rnacentral:SRP_RNA from 1 species